AAGAACAGACUUUCGAAAGACGAGCAUUGCUCGUCGUUUGGGAACGUGAUAUCGCACGCGAAGUACACACACAUGCGGUAUCUAUCUUGAUCUAUGUCUGUGGGCUUAAAUAAUAU